CUGCCCUUGGGUCCGGCAUAACCCCGGGAAACUGGGGAUAAUUCCGGAUAACGCACAUAUGCUGGAAUGCUUUAUGCGUCAAAUGGAUUCGUCUGCCCAAGGAUGGGUCUGCGGCCUAUCAGGUAGUAGUGGGUGUAAUGUACCUACUAGCCGACGACGGGUACGGGUUGUGAGAGCAAGAGCCCGGAGAUGGAUUCUGAGACAUGAAUCCAGGCCCUACGGGGCGCAGCAGGCGCGAAAACUUUACAAUGCGGGAAACCGUGAUAAGGGGACACCGAGUGCCAGCAUCAUAUGCUGGCUGUCCGGGUGUGUAAAAUACACCUGUUAGCAAGGGCCGGGCAAGACCGGUGCCAGCCGCCGCGGUAACACCGGCGGCCCGAGUGGUGAUCGUGAUUAUUGGGUCUAAAGGGUCCGUAGCCGGUUUGGUCAGUCCUCCGGGAAAUCUGACGGCUUAACCGUUAGGCUUUCGGAGGAUACUGCCAGGCUUGGAACCGGGAGAGGUAAGAGGUACUACAGGGGUAGGAGUGAAAUCUUGUAAUCCCUGUGGGACCACCUGUGGCGAAGGCGUCUUACCAGAACGGGUUCGACGGUGAGGGAC
rnacentral:rRNA from 1 species